ACAAAGUUAUUUUUGGCAGAAUAGAUGGAUGCAGUUCAAUGCAUGAUUCAUAUAAUUCACCAAUACAUUUCUUGGUAGUCCAAAACAUAUUGCUAUCAGGUUGUAAAUCCCAGCUGGCCUGAUACAUUGUUUGCUUCCUCCAUUUGGGAUUCACUGUUUCAGUAUUUUCCACAAAAACGGACGAAUGUAACUAAGGCUGGGAAUGUCAAAAACAAUCAAGGGCAAUGAUACAAGUCAGUCAUCACAUGGCUAAAAGGCUAGUGUAUCUAUUAAUAUAGCAACAAGCUAAACACACAGAGCCUAACAUUAGCUAGAUAUCGAGCUAAAUAGCUGCUAGGAGGAUGCCAUGUCAUGUCAUUGGAGGAGUGGGUGAGUGGUUGACUUUCCCCACAUAUCAUUCUUUGGUGGCUAUACACAGCUAGAGAUGUAUGAGUCAUUUGGUUAGCUAGCAAGAACUUGUCCAGUUAGCAAAUUCAAUCUGGCGCUCUAUCUUUCUAUCUAGGAUUUCAGAGCUCUCUCAUCUGUGUGACAGAGCACAGAAUAACUGAUGAAUUUACAAACGCGCAACAUCUGCUGAAUAUGACCAGUGUCAGUAAACGCAGGCAAAGAAAGUCAUAGUCAGUCACAAAGCUCUAUAUAACAUGUAAACAGCCGCACCAGCUCUGCUAGAGCAAGUAAUAUGGUUAGAGUGAGGCGUUCUCUCAUUUUUGUCUGGAAAUAGCUAGCUAGCAAGCUAGCCAACUUUAGCCAGUUAUCUUUGGGUGCUUGGUUGGGACAAGUGUGCAUUGUUGGCAGGCAAGCUGCAGGAAGACGAGUAGACUACAAUUCCUCAUUGUUUAUCAGUGCAAUUUUGAUGGCCAAUUAACUGAAACAGUUUGAGAAGGUUUAUCUAAUGUUCGUCCGUCAGAUGUUAGCUCAUCUUUCUCUGGCUAGCAUUAGUUUUUGACCUUGUUGUUGAGGUGCAUAACUGAGGGAGAGAGAGCCGACCUUUUCAUGGUUGUUUGAACAAUAGGACUGUAAAGUUCCCAAAUGUAAGAGGUCUCCCAUGAUGUUUACAUAUUUGCAGAAAUCCAUUCAGGUGUAUUUUGUGGCUUUUGGCAAAUGCAUUCUAAUGAUCUAAAGUUGUGCUGUUGCAUCUGCCUGUAAACACCCAGUCCAGUACAAAAUGAAUGAUGGCAGGUCCAUCUGCCUGUAAACACCCAGUCCAGUUCAAAAUGAAUGAUGGCUGGUCCAUCUGCCUGUAAACACCCAGUCCAGUUCAAAGUGAAUGAUGGCAGGUCCAUCUGCCUGUAAACACACAGUCCAGUUCAAAGUGAAUGAUGGCAGGUCCAUCUGCCUGUAAACACACAGUCCAGUUCAAAAUGAAUGAUGGCUGGUCCAUCUGCCUGUAAACACCCAGUCCAGUUCAAAGUGAAUGAUGGCAGGUCCAUCUGCCUGUAAACACACAGUCCAGUUCAAAGUGAAUGAUGGCAGGUCCAUCUGUCUGUAAACACACAGUCCAGUUCAAAGUGAAUGAUGGCAGGUCCAUCUGACUGUAAACACACAGUCCAGUUCAAAGUGAAUGAUGGCAGGUCCAUCUGUCUGUAAACACACAGUCCAGUUCAAAGUGAAUGAUGACAGGUCCAUCUGCCUGUAAACACACAGUCCAGUUCAAAGUGAAUGAUGGCAGGUCCAUCUGUCUGUAAACACACAGUCCAGUUCAAAGUGAAUGAUGACAGGUCCAUCUGCCUGUAAACACACAGUCCAGUUCAAAGUGAAUGAUGGCAGGUCCAUCUGCCUGUAAACACACAGUCCAGUUCAAAGUGAAUGAUGGCAGGUCCAUCUGCCUGUAAACACACAGUCCAGUUCAAAGUGAAUGAUGACAGGUCCAUCUGCCUGUAAACACACAGUCCAGUUCAAAGUGAAUGAUGACAGGUCCAUCUGCCUGUAAACACACAGUCCAGUUCAAAGUGAAUGAUGGCAGGUCCAUCUGUCUGUAAACACACAGUCCAGUUCAAAGUGAAUGAUGGCAGGUCCAUCUGCCUGUAAACACACAGUCCAGUUCAAAGUGAAUGAUGGCAGGUCCAUCUGUCUGUAAACACACAGUCCAGUUCAAAGUGAAUGAUGGCAGGUCCAUCUGUCUGUAAACACACAGUCCAGUUCAAAGUGAAUGAUGACAGGUCCAUCUGCCUGUAAACACACAGUCCAGUUCAAAGUGAAUGAUGACAGGUCCAUCUGCCUGUAAACACACAGUCCAGUUCAAAGUGAAUGAUGACAGGUCCAUCUGCCUGUAAACACACAGUCCAGUUCAAAGUGAAUGAUGACAGGUCCAUCUGCCUGUAAACACACAGUCCAGUUCAAAGUGAAUGAUGACAGGUCCAUCUGCCUGUAAACACACAGUCCAGUUCAAAGUGAAUGAUGGCAGGUCCAUCUGUCUGUAAACACACAGUCCAGUUCAAAGUGAAUGAU